rnacentral:rRNA from 1 species
CCUACGGGUGGCAGCAGUGAGGAAUAUUGGUCAAUGGGAGAGAUACUGAACCAGCCAAGCCGCGUGAGGGAAGACGGCCCUAAGUGUCGUAAACCUCUUUUGUCGGAGAACAAAACCCGGGACGUGUCCCGGGCUGCGUGUAUCCGAAGAAAAAGCAUCGGCUAACUCCGUGCCAGCAGCCGCGGUAAUACGGAGGAUGCGAGCGUUAUCCGGAUUUAUUGGGUUUAAAGGGUGCGUAGGCGGUCCGUUAAGGCAGCGGUAAACUUGCGGGGCUAAACCCCGUCGAGCCGUUGAAACUGGCAGACUUGAUGUGGAGAGAAGUACGCGGAAUGCGCGGGGUAGGGGGG